rnacentral:rRNA from 1 species
UACGUAGGGUGCGAGCGUUACUCGGAAUUACUGGGCGUAAAGCGUGCGCAGGCGGUUGUGCAAGACAGAUGUGAAAUCCCCGGGCUCAACCUGGGAAUUGCAUUUGUGACUGCACGGCUAGAGUGUGUCAGAGGGGGGUAGAAUUCCACGUGUAGCAGUGAAAUGCGUAGAGAUGUGGAGGAAUACCGAUGGCGAAGGCAGCCCCCUGGGAUAACACUGACGCUCAUGCACGAAAGCGUGGGGAGCAAACAGG